UGGGGAUUCUUGCACAAUGGGGGCAACCCUGAUGCAGCGACGCCGCGUGAGCGAUGAAGGCUUUCGAAUCGUAAAGCUCUGUCCUAUGGGAAGAUAACGACGGUACCAUAGGAGGAAGCCCCGGCUAACUACGUGCCAGCAGCCGCGGUAAUACGUAGGGGGCGAGCGCUGUCCGGAAUUACUGGGCGUAAAGGGUUCGCAGGCGGCAUGGCAAGUCCGAUGUAAAAGGCGAAGGCUCAACCUUCGUAAGCAUCGGAAACUGUCAAGCUUGAGUGAAGGAGAGGCAAGUGGAAUUCCUAGGGGAGCGGUGGAAUGCGUAGAUAUUAGGAGGAAUACCGGUGGCGAAGGCGACUUGCUGGACUUCAACUGACGCUGAGGAACGAAAGCGUGGGUAGCAAACAGG
rnacentral:rRNA from 1 species